ACUGCUCAGCACUAGGCCGGCAGAAUCUGAGCGAUGUCUUCCACACUCCCUGCCCUGCUCUGCGUCGGUGAGUUCUGGCGUGGAAGGGGAAUGGGAUCACGGUGUGCCUGGGAGGCAACAGGUCUCAUUACUCCCGUCUUCCAGGGCUGUGUCUGAGUCAGAGGAUCAGCGCCCAGCAGCAGACUCUCCCAAAACCGUUCAUCUGGGCCGAGCCCCAUUUCAUGGUUCCAAAGGAAAAGCAAGUGACCAUCUGUUGCCAGGGAAAUUAUGGGGCUGUUGAAUACCAGCUGCACUUUGAAGGAAGCCUUUUUGCCGUGGACAGACCAAAACCCCCUGAGCGGAUUAACAAAGUCAAAUUCUACAUCCCGGACAUGAACUCCCGCAUGGCAGGGCAAUACAGCUGCAUCUAUCGGGUUGGGGAGCUCUGGUCAGAGCCCAGCAACUUGCUGGAUCUGGUGGUAACAGAAAUGUAUGACACACCCACCCUCUCGGUUCAUCCUGGACCCGAAGUGAUCUCGGGAGAGAAGGUGACCUUCUACUGCCGUCUAGACACUGCAACAAGCAUGUU
rnacentral:misc_RNA from 1 species